UUAAAACUAAGACAUUACAACCAUACCUUUGCCCUAAAUCUCUCUCCUCUUCAUGUUUCUCUCCCUCCUAUCCUGCGACGAUCCUGUGAAAUUGUCCUGCCCUGCGAAAACGAACUUGAACACAUCCUGAAACUGUCUCGCUUCCGCCUCAGUCUCACUCAUUUUCGCGUCUCGCCUCCGGCUCAUUUUCGCGUCUCGCCUCCGCCUCCGGCUCAGUUUCGCGUCUCAUCUCUCGGCCCUCCGCCUGCGGUCGCCUCUGCCUGACUGCCUCUGUGGCCGUUCGUCGCUCUCUGUUCGCCGCAACCUCAUCUGUCUCCAGAUCGCGUUGCUGUUUUGUUCAAAGGGGACAUAAGCCCCUUAUAUCUGUCGAUGGAUUGCACCAGCUACACAUUCUUUUAUUCUUCUUAGCGGUCCUUCAUGUGAUAUACAAUGUUAUCACAAUGUUUCUUGGAAGACUAAAGAAAUGAGGAUGGAAGGUGUGGUAGGCGGAGACAUCGCCUUAUAGAUACGAGUUCGCCAAUGAUGGGCUCAACAAUGAAAAAAUCAAUAUUUGAUGAGCAAACAUCAAAGGCAAUAAAAAAAUGGCACACUACUACGAAGAAGAAUUAUAGGCUAAAAUUAGGAAUAUCGAGUGUUCGAGCCAUGGACAUAAGCACCACCGACUCAAUUGUACACUCUACAACUUCUACACUACUACGUUUCAAAACCACUAGUCCCUCAACUCCGUCUCUGUUUCAUCCUACAAUGACCAAUAUAUCAUACGAAGGAUCACAAGAAGUAUGAACAAAGAUAUUUAUCAGAGGAUGCUACGCCUUACCGAUGCAAGGAGAUACGAGGAUGGAAGGCGUGGGAGGCGGAGAUAUCGUCUUAUAGAUACAAGUUAGCCAAUGAUGGGCUCAACAAUGAAAAAAUCAAUAUUUGAUAAGCAAACAUGAAUGGGAAUAAAAAAAUGGCACGCUACUGCGAAGAAGAAUUAUAGGCUAAAAUUAGGAAAGUCGAGUGUUCGAGCCAUGGACAGAAGCCCCACCGACUCAACUGUUCACUCUACAACUCCUACGCUAAUACAUUUCAAAACCACCAGUCCCUCAACUCCGUCUCUGUUUCAUCCUACAAUGACCAAUAUAUCAUACAAAGGAUCACAAGAAGUAUGAACAGAGAUAUUUAUCAGAGGAUGCUACGCCUUACCGAUGCAAGGAGAUACGAGGAUGGAAGGCGGAGAUAUCGUCUUAUAGAUACAAGUUAGCCAAUGAUGGGCUGAACAAUGAAAAAAUCAAUAUUUGAUGAGCAAACAUCAAAGGCAAUAAAAAAAUGGCACGCUACUGCGAAGAAGAAUUAUAGGCUAAAAUUAGGAAAGUCGAGUGUUCGAGCCAUGAACAGAAGCACCACCGACUCAAUUGUUCACUCUACAACUCCUAAGCUACUACGUUUCAAAACCACCAGUCACUCAACUCCGACUCCUAAGCUACUACGUUUCAAAACCACCAGUCACUCAACUCCGUCUCUGUUUCAUCCUACAAUGACCAAUAUAUCAUACGAAGGAUCACAAGAAGUAUGAACAGAGAUAUUUAUCAGAGGAUGCUACGCCUUAUCGAUGCAAGGAGAUACGAGGAUGGAAGGCGUGGGAGGCGGAGAUAUCGUCUUAUAGAUACAAGUUAGCCAAUGAUAUCAUACGAAGGAUCACAAGAAGUAUGAACAUAGAUAUUUAUUAGAGGAUGCUACGCCUUAUCGAUGCAAGGAGGUAAAUUUAUAAAAGAUACGAGGAUGGAAGGCGUGGGAGGCGGAGAUAUCGUCUUAUAGAUACAAGUUAGCCAAUGAUGGGCUCAACAAUGAAAAAAUCAAUAUUUGAUGAGAAAAUAUUAAAGGCAAUAAAAAAAUGGCACGCUACUGCGAAGAAGAAUUAUAGGCUAAAAUUAGGAAAGUCGAGUAUUCGAGCCAUGGACAGAAGCACAACCAACUAAAUUGUUCACUCUACAACUCCUUCGCUACUACGUUUCAAAGCCACCAGUCACUCAACUCCGUCUCUAUUUCAUCCUACAAUGACCAAUGUUAGUACUAUUCUGGUAUUGAAUUUUCUCCAACAUCGAACUUGCUAGAAAGAGUGGACGAUGUUGAAGAAGAUAUAAUAGAAACUUCGGUCGAAUAAACUAUGAGUUUUUAAUAUUGUUAUGGGGUGAACAUAGGAGCUAAUCAAAUUGUGGUCGAAUAACUAUGAGCUGUUAUUAUUGUUAUUGGGGGUGAACAUAGUAGUUAAAUAAACAAUGAGAUAUUGUAUAAUUGUUUGGUUUUC